rnacentral:misc_RNA from 1 species
AGCUGUUCCCCUCUGGAGGUUUUUGACCUUCACAAUUCAAAGGGCCCUGGUUUUUCCGGUGGCCCUCUUUUUUUGUUAUU